AGUGAACGCUGGCGGUAGGCCUAACACAUGCAAGUCGAACGGCAGCACAGUAAGAGCUUGCUCUUACGGGUGGCGAGUGGCGGACGGGUGAGGAAUACAUCGGAAUCUACUUUUUCGUGGGGGAUAACGUAGGGAAACUUACGCUAAUACCGCAUACGACCUACGGGUGAAAGCAGGGGAUCUUCGGACCUUGCGCGAUUGAAUGAGCCGAUGUCGGAUUAGCUAGUUGGCGGGGUAAAGGCCCACCAAGGCGACGAUCCGUAGCUGGUCUGAGAGGAUGAUCAGCCACACUGGAACUGAGACACGGUCCAGACUCCUACGGGAGGCAGCAGUGGGGAAUAUUGGACAAUGGGCGCAAGCCUUAUCCAGCCAUACCGCGUGUGUGAAGAAGGCCUUCGGGUUGUAAAGCCCUUUUUUUGGGAAAGAAAAUCAGCAGGUUAAUACCCCGCUGUUCUGACGGUACCCAAAGAAUAAGCACCGGCUAACUUCGUG
rnacentral:rRNA from 1 species